rnacentral:rRNA from 1 species
GAUGAACGCUGCCAGAAUGCUUAACACAUGCAAGUCAACUUGAACUUCGGUUUGGGUGGCGGACGGGUGAGUAACGCGUAAAGAACUUGCCUAACAGCUAGGGACAACAUUUGGAAACGAAUGCUAAUACCUGAUAUUAUGAUUAUAUGGCAUCGUAUAAUUAUGAAAGCUAUAUGCGCUGUGAGAGAGCUUUGCGUCCCAUUAGCUAGUUGGAGAGGUAACAGCUCACCAAGGCGAUAAUGGGUAGCCGGCCUGAGAGGGUGAUCGGCCACAAGGGGACUGAGACACGGCCCUUACUCCUACGGGAGGCAGCAGUGGGGAAUAUUGGACAAUGGACCGAGAGUCUGAUCCAGCAAUUCUGUGUGCACGAUGAAGUUUUUCGGAAUGUAAAGUGCUUUCAGUUGGGAAGAAAAAAAUGACGGUACCAACAGAAGAAGUGACGGCUAAAUACGUG